UACGGAGGGGGCUAGCGUUGUUCGGAAUUACUGGGCGUAAAGCGCACGUAGGCGGCUUUGUAAGUUAGAGGUGAAAGCCCGGAGCUCAACUCCGGAACUGCCUUUAAAACUGCAUCGCUUGAAUCCAGGAGAGGUGAGUGGAAUUCCGAGUGUAGAGGUGAAAUUCGUAGAUAUUCGGAAGAACACCAGUGGCGAAGGCGGCUCACUGGAGCUGGUAUUGACGCUGAGGUGCGAAAGCGUGGGGAGCAAACAGG
rnacentral:rRNA from 1 species